rnacentral:rRNA from 1 species
GACGAACGCUGGCGGCGUGCUUAACACAUGCAAGUCGAACGAAGUGGCGAACGGGUGAGUAACGCGUAAUCAACCUGCCCUUCAGAGGGGGACAACAGUUGGAAACGACUGCUAAUACCGCAUACUGAAGGAGGGGAUUGCGUCUGAUAAGUUAGUGGGAGGGUAAACGGCCCACCAAGGCGAUGAUCAGUAGCCGGGCUUGGAGGAGGAACGGCCAAAUUGGGCCUGGGACACGGCCCAGAGUCCUACGGGAGGCAGCAGUGGGGAAUCUUCCGCAAUUGACGAAAGUCUGACGGAGCAACGCCGCGUGAGUGAUGACGGCCUUCGGGUUGGAAAGCUCUUUUAAUAGGGACGCGGUACCGGAAUAGAAAGCCACGGCUAACUACGUGCCAGCAGCCGCGGUAAUUC